rfam:Populus trichocarpa scaffold_1_contig_631, whole genome shotgun sequence.
UAAUCUAUUUGAGCAAAUCCUCAUCUAGUUAUAGCAAACUUACACAUGACUGCUUAGAAUCAUAUGUUAUCAUAAAUCCAACUACAUCACUAUUCCAUCAUAAACCAUCACGUGAGUUAGUAAUAGCAAUUAGUGC